UCAUGUUUCUUUUAGAAUUUU
rnacentral:piRNA from 1 species